rnacentral:rRNA from 1 species
GACGAACGCUGGCGGCGUGCUUAACACAUGCAAGUCGAACGGAAAGGCCCUGCUUUUGUGUGGUGCUCUAGUGGCUAACGGGUGAGUAACACGUGAGUAACCUGCCCUUUACUUUGGGAUAACUUCUGGUAACUGCGGCUACUACUGGAUCGUAGCUUCUCCUGCAUGGUGGGGGUUGGAAUGUUUCGGCGGUUCGGGAUGUACUCGCGGCGUAUCAGCUUGUUGGUGGGGUAGUGGCUUACCAAGGCUUGGACGUGUAGCCGGCCUGAGAGGGUGAGCGGCGACAUAGAGACUGAGGUAAGGCAGAAACGCCUAAGGGAGGCAGAAGUGGGGAAGAUUGAAGAAUGGGCGGAGGCCUGAUGAAGAAACGCCGCGGGCUGGAUAACGGCCUUAGGGGUGUAAACCGGUGUAGCGUGUGAAGAAGCGUGAGUGAAGGUAAUGGGUAGAGAAGCACCGGCUAAAUACGUG